GAUAAGAAUGAGCAACUUAAGUACAAAUAAAAGAGAGUUAAAAAAAAGUAUACGAUGGGUUUGAAGUCUCAAAAACUUAUUGCACAAUCCAAUUCCAUGUCGCAAAAUACCGAAUCUGAAGAACAUGCUACGAAUUUCGUCAAAUUUGCUUAAAAGUAUUAACGCAGUAUUAUAUCACACUGCUGUUAAGCAAAAUGUAUACUUUAGUUACAAUUACUGUUUGUAAAUAGGUGAUAUUACAAUCCGAAAUCGUACACUAUAGAUAUCCUCAUCAUUAAAUUGUUGAACAACUGAAAGCAUUGUGGUAAGGGUUCAACAUUCUACAAAUCACUCACGCUACUUUCAUUUUCACAUUUGAAUGCGUGCUUUGAAUGGAACUAGCAGAAAUGAAAGGGACGAUAGUCUUUUAAUUUCAUUUCUUUACUUUCUUUUUACUUUCUUCUGAACUGAAUUGCUAUAUUGAUAAAUUAAAUAAUGUUCUGGAUAACCAGAACGAAUCAGAACGUGUCUUUUAAUAGCAAAAUUUUUCAAAACCAAAAGCCAAUGAACAAUGUAAGCAAAAAGGAGGAGGAAAACAGAUUAGGGAAUUCAUAUAGAGCGUAUUUUCAGAAAGGUUAUUUGUAUACCUUUUUAAGUCCUAGCCUCGCUCAUGUCGAGUACUUGAACCAUACCUCGGUUUUUGGUCUCAUUUCGGACAAGUUCAUCUAUCAACUUAUAAUUCCCUGGAAUCACGAGAGCUAUGCACUCAUAUUCAUCAUCAAUGUUUUCUUCUUCAAUUUCAUCAGCUAAAGAGCGUAAACGCUCUCGUAAAGCUUUUCCCUGUUUGACAUCCACCACUAUUCUGAUGCGCAUACGCGCACGGACGAUAGGAAUUUCGUUUUUUUCUUGCAAUUUCUUAAUAGCUUCCAGAGCUUGGGACUUUGCAGUUUUACUGGUAGAGACAGAAAAGCCACAAUCAGAUAAUGCUUUUUCAAUUAUAGAUGCUGGAUAAGGUCGUUUAGAAUUAGGAUCCAUGCACAUCGCAGUAACAUGGGAGACAAUAUCGCGAUAAGUUGAAGACAUUUGAUGAUGUCUUUCCUUUUCACCUACUUGAAAAUCUCCUUUUUGCAAAAUUUCUAAAAUAAUUUUAUCUAUAUCAUCUGUACCAAAAGCCUUUUUCAAAUCCUGUCGGCUAGCUACAUGUCCUUUAGAAACAUUGUUAAACACAUUGUGGAUUUGUAAAACUUCAUCCAGAUCUGUUUCACUAAACUUGGUUAGCUAUGGUUUUGAUCAAAAAAAAUUGUACGAGUUAUUGAGUUGUUGACACCAGUCGACAAGACACGUGAAUUCAAAAAGAUAGCUUGUUAUAAUUUUCUGCUGAUCUUAAAGAAUAUUUAUCUGUAGCAAAGGCUGACUCUCACUAAUUACAGUAGCUUAAUUUAAUG